rnacentral:rRNA from 1 species
GUGAACGCUGGCGGCGUGCCUAACACAUGCAAGUCGAACGGUAACAGGAAGAAGCUUGCUUCUUUGCUGACGAGUGGCGCACGGGUGAGUAAGGUAUAGGUAACGUGCCCCCCAGAGAGGGAUAGCCACUGGAAACGGUGAUUAAUACCUCAUACUCCUUCUUAACAUAAGUUAAGUCGGGAAACGGAUUUCCGCUGGGGGAUCGGCCUAUAUGGUAUCAGGUAGUUGGUGGGGUAACGGCCUACCAAGCCAAUGACGCCUAGCUGGUUUGAGAGGAUGAUCAGCCACACUGGUACUGAGACACGGACCAGACUCCUACGGGAGGCAGCAGUGAGGAAUAUUGCACAAUGGAGGAAACUCUGAUGCAGCAACGCCGCGUGGAGGAUGACGCAUUUCGGUGUGUAAACUCCUUUUAUCAGGGAAGAAGAUGACGGUACCUGAUGAAUAAGCUCCGGCUAACUCCGUGCCAGCAGCCGCGGUAAUACGGGGGGAGCAAGCGUUACUCGGAAUCACUGGGCGUAAAGGGCGCGUAGGCGGCCUAUUAAGUCAGGCGUGAAAUCCUACAGCUUAACUGUAGAACUGCACUUGAAACUGAUAGGCUAGAGUAUGGAAGGGGCAGAUGGAAUUAGUGGUGUAGGGGUAAAAUCCGUAGAUAUCACUAGGAAUACCGAAAGCGAAGGCGAUCUGCUGGGACAUUACUGACGCUAAGGCGUGAAAGCGUGGGGAGCAAACAGGAUUAGAUACCCUGGUAGUCCACGCCCUAAACGAUGAACACUAGUCGUCGGGGUACUCGUUACUCCGGUGAUGCACCUAACGGAUUAAGUGUUCCGCCUGGGGAGUACGGUCGCAAGAUUAAAACUCAAAGGAAUAGACGGGGACCCGCACAAGUGGUGGAGCAUGUGGUUUAAUUCGAAGAUACGCGAAGAACCUUACCUGGCCUUGACAUAUAGGAGAACCUGCUAGAGAUAGCGGGGUGCCUUCGGGAGCUUCUAUACAGGUGCUGCACGGCUGUCGUCAGCUCGUGUCGUGAGAUGUUGGGUUAAGUCCCG